GGCCGUGGGGGGCAGAGCCUUUAAUAAAGGACUGAAAAUGAGCUAUAAAAGAGAAAGUGAGAGUCUCAGCAGCUCAAAAAACGAGAUAUAGACAGAGAGAGAAACAUUCAGAGCUUCAGACGCCUGCAGAGAAGAUGGAGAUGAAGAUGAGCUGUGUGUGUUUGGUGCUGGGGCUGGUCCUGCUGAUGACCGUCUCCUCAGACGCUGACACUUUUGCCUUUGGUCAUCCUGUUCAGUGCUGUUUCCGCUUCGUUCAUUUUAGUAUUCCAUACAAUGAAAUAAAACAAGUUGAAAAACUACAUUCCAGCUGCCCACACAAAGGCUAUGUGAUUACAACUUCGAGGGGCAAAAUCUGCAAGAAGGACUCUGUCCAUUAAUUUUUCAGAGUUGUAACUUCAACACAGCCCAGCCGCAGCAAACAGAGCAGCUAAAAGCUUUACACUCCCCUGUAAUCAUCACAGCAUUUUAUCAGCCAGCGCUUUGCUUUUUCAGUAUUAUCAGUGGCUGUUUAACUCUGUGGAAAUAAACAGUGCAUGGUUAAAAAUCUCUGUAGAGAGAAAAAAAAACAGUCAAAUUAGAUUUCAGUGCUAGAGCUUCUGUGCAAUAAUCAAUGUACUGAUUCUUUUCAUUAUCAUUGAUGCUUAUUUUAUGCUGUGGAUUCAAAUAAAACUGCAUUGCAAACAUU